rnacentral:rRNA from 1 species
GAUGAACGCUAGCGAUAGGCUUAACACAUGCAAGUCGAGGGGCAGCAUGGUCUUAGCUUGCUAAGGCUGAUGGCGACCGGCGCACGGGUGCGUAACGCGUAUGCAACUUGCCUCACAGAGGGGGAUAACCCGUCGAAAGACGGACUAAUACCGCGUACACUCUAUGUUGGGCAUCCAAUGUAGAGGAAAUGAAAUUCGCUGUGAGAUAGGCAUGCGUCCCAUUAGCUAGUUGGUGAGGUAACGGCUCACCAAGGCGACGAUGGGUAGGGGAACUGAGAGGUUGAACCCCCACACUGGUACUGAGACACGGACCAGACUCCUACGGGAGGCAGCAGUGAGGAAUAUGGGUCAAUGGGCGAGAGCCUGAACCAGCCAAGUCGCGUGAAGGAUGACUGUCUUAUGGAUUGUAAACUUCUUUUAUACGGGAAUAACAAGAGUCACGUGUGGCUCCCUGCAUGUACCGUAUGAAUAAGCAUCGGCUAACUCCGUG